AACGAACGCUGGCGGCGUGCCUAACACAUGCAAGUCGUGCGAGAAAGUUUCCUUCGGGGAGCUAGUAAAGCGGCGCACGGGUGAGUAACACGUAGGUAAUCUACCUCUAAGUCCGGAAUAACCAGCUGAAAGGCUGGCUAAUGCCGGAUAAGACCACGGCCUCUGCGGGGGCUGCGGCCAAAGGUGGCCUUUUCAUGAAAGCUAUUGCAGAGAGAUGAGCCUGCGUAACAUUAGCUAGUUGGUGAGGUAACGGCUCACCAAGGCUGUGAUGGUUAGCUGGUCUGAGAGGAUGAGCAGCCACACUGGGACUGAGACACGGCCCAGACUCCUACGGGGGGCAGCAGUGGGGAAUAUUGCGCAAUGGGGGAAACCCUGACGCAGCGAAGCCGCGUGGGUGAUGAAGGCCUUCGGGUCGUAAAGCCCUGUCGUAGGGGAAGAACUGGUUGCAGGCUAAUAUCCUGCAGCCUUGACGGUACUCUACAAGAAAGCACCGGCUAACUCCGUGCCAGCCGCCGCCGUAAGAC
rnacentral:rRNA from 1 species